CAGUCGCCACGGUAACACGGAGGGUGCAAGCGUUAAUCGGAAUUACUGGGCGUAAAGCGCACGCAGGCGGUUUGUUAAGUCAGAUGUGAAAUCCCCGGGCUCAACCUGGGAACUGCAUCUGAUACUGGCAAGCUUGAGUCUCGUAGAGGGGGGUAGAAUUCCAGGUGUAGCGGUGAAAUGCGUAGAGAUCUGGAGGAAUACCGGUGGCGAAGGCGGCCCCCUGGACGAAGACUGACGCUCAGGUGCGAAAGCGUGGGGAGCAAACAGGAUUAGAUACCCGAGUAGUCCCUGUCUCUUAUAC
rnacentral:rRNA from 1 species